CCUCCCUGGGUUUAGAAUUUGCAGUAACAGGUGUGAGCAUUCUAGCAGCAGUUUGAUGAUCAUGUAUGAUACUGCAAACAGGACCGUGCACAGAACGUGGCG
rnacentral:miRNA from 1 species